rnacentral:rRNA from 1 species
CCUACGGGAGGCUGCAGUCGAGGAUCUUCGUCAAUGGGCGCAAGCCUGAACGAGCGAUGCCGCGUGAGCGAUGAAGGCCUUCGGGUUGUAAAGCUCAAAAGGGGUGAGAAAGGGCAACUUGAUCGAACCCCAGUAAGCUCGGGCUAAGUUCGUGCCAGCAGCCGCGGUAAGACGAACCGAGCGAACGUUGUUCGGAAUCACUGGGCUUAAAGGGCGCGUAGGCGGGCUCUCAAGUCCGGGGUGAAAUCCCACAGCUCAACUGUGGAACUGCCUCGGAUACUGGGGGCCUCGAGGGUGGUAGGGGUAUGCGGAACUAUCGGUGGAGCGGUGAAAUGCGUUGAUAUCGAUAGGAACUCCGGUGGCGAAGGCGGCAUACUGGACCACAUCUGACGCUGAGGCGCGAAAGCCAGGGGAGCAAACGGGAUUAGAUACCCCUGUAGUC